AGAAGAUCAAAGAACUGGCAAAAAAACACAGGAACUAGAGGAUAAUGCUCCUCAACCAGAGAACGUUCUAAGGAUCAUUGCAAUACAGAAUGAGAUCUUGAACCUGCAGAAAGGAGUUAGCAAUGGGAUAAACUUUGACCAGAUUGCUGCACUUGAGAAUGAACUGGAUGCAUUGAUUGCCACAAUCGAGGAGAAGAACAAUGGCAACUGUAAACAGAUUCUGCAGAUCAUUGCACUCCAAAAUCAAGUGACAAGAUUGCAGAGGCAAGAGUUAGAGUUAAAUCAGUCAUCUGAGGCCAAGAUUGCUGAGCUAAAGAAUCAGCUACAGGAGACGAGAGACCAGCUGAAUGAAAAAGAAAACGAGCUGAAAGAAACUGACAGUAGAAUUCCACAACUCAUUGCAGAGAUCAUGG